rnacentral:lncRNA from 10 species
AAUUUCUUUUCAGGACUGUAGAAUAUUCCACGGUCUGUAUAGACCACCUUUUGUUUAUCCAUUCAUCUGUGGGUGGACACUUGCUCCCACCUUUUGGCUGUGGUGAACAAUGCUGCUGCAGACAUGGUGGCUGUGGUGAACGGUGCCGAGACAUGGUGGCUGUGGUGAACGGUGCUGCCGAGACAUGGUGGCUGUGGUGGACGGUGCUGCUGAGACAUGGUGGCCGUGGUGGAUGGUGCUGAGACAUGGUGGCUGUGGUGAACGGUGCUGCCGAGACAUGGUGGCUGUGGUGAAUGGUGCCGAGACAUGGUGGCUGUGGUGGACGGUGCUGCCGAGACAUGGUGGCUGUGGUGGACGGUGCUGCUGAGACAUGGUGGCUGUGGUGAACGGUGUCGAGACAUGGUGGCUGUGGUGGACGGUGCUGCUGAGACAUGGUGGCUGUGGUGAACGGUGCCGAGACAUGGUGGCUGUGGUGAACAGUGCCAAGACAUGGUGGCUGUGGUGGACGGUGCUGCUGAGACAUGGUGGCUGUGGUGAACGGUGCCGAGACAUGGUGGCUGUGGUGGACGGUGCUGCUGAGACAUGGUGGCUGUGGUGAACGGUGCUGCUGAGACAUGGUGGCUGUGGUGAACGGUGCUGCUGAGACAUGGUGGCUGUGGUGAACGGUGCUGAGACAUGGUGGCUGUGGUGGACGGUGCUGCUGAGACAUGGUGGCUGUGGUGAACAGUGCUGAGACAUGGGGCUGUGGUGAAUGGUGCUGCCGAGACAUGGUGGCUGUGGUGAAUGGUGCUGCUAAUGUGUCUAGAAUUGGUGGAUUCUUGGUCUCACUGACUUCAAGAAUGAAGCCGCAGACCCUCG